UACGGAGGAUGCGAGCGUUAUCCGGAUUUAUUGGGUUUAAAGGGUGCGUAGGCGGCCUGCCAAGUCAGCGGUAAAAUUGCGGGGCUCAACCCCGUACAGCCGUUGAAACUGCCGGGCUCGAGUGGGCGAGAAGUAUGCGGAAUGCGUGGUGUAGCGGUGAAAUGCAUAGAUAUCACGCAGAACCCCGAUUGCGAAGGCAGCAUACCGGCGCCCGACUGACGCUGAGGCACGAAAGUGCGGGGAGCAAACAGG
rnacentral:rRNA from 1 species